AGAAUCAACGCUGGCGGCGUGCCUAACACAUGCAAGUCGAACGAGAAAGUGGAGCAAUCCAUGAGUAAAGUGGCGCACGGGUGAGUAACACGUGACUAACCUACCCUUGAGUGGGGGAUAACCUAGGGAAACCUGGGCUAAUACCGCAUAAUACCUUCGGGUCAAAGGAGUAAUUCGCUUUAGGAGGGGGUCGCGGCCGAUUAGUUAGUUGGCGGGGUAAUGGCCCACCAAGACGAUGAUCGGUAUCCGGCCUGAGAGGGCGCACGGACACACUGGAACUGAAACACGGUCCAGACUCCUACGGGAGGCAGCAGUGGGGAAUUUUGCGCAAUGGGGGAAACCCUGACGCAGCAACGCCGCGUGGAGGAUGAAGUCCCUUGGGACGUAAACUCCUUUCGAUCGGGACGAUUAUGACGGUACCGGAAGAAGAAGCCCCGGCUAACUUCGUGCCAGCAGCCGC
rnacentral:rRNA from 1 species